rnacentral:lncRNA from 1 species
CAGAAGCCUCCAUGGAAGGGCAGUGAACACUGAGGAUGUCACAAGCAGUCCCCUUGCCAGCUGACUACCUUUGAGGCUGAAAUCUGUCAGAAAAGACAAACUUUUCCAGGCUGUUGGAAGAGCACACAAUGCAUGACCACCUUUCCAUGAAGCCAAGCUUGGAGAUGUAACAGCUAAUCCCACCACAGGCAUGGUAGAAGAAAUCCAAAAAGGUUCUGGUGUUUCUCCAGGAGCAAGUAUGGGGUCUCAGCAGUGUAUCCAGAGCCCAGCCUGCUGAUUGAUGCUCCUCCCAACAGCUUUUGAAACUGUGACCACAACAGGCUGUUUGAACUGUGGUGUGAGAGAGUCUGAAAAAUUCCCCAGGCUACUAUAUGCAGGUACUAGCCACAGAGUUGACAAGGAGAGCUUUUAAAGCACGAUGAAAUUCAGCACGGGCGCUGCACCCAGCAGAGGAAACUCCGGCCAUCUGGAGACGAGGAUGACCAGCAGCCACAGCAGUUUGAAAAAUUGCAAGGGCUGCCAAAAUUAAACUGUGAAGUCAGGCGGGAAGGCAACCAAUGACCGGUGAGAUCAGAAGUUCAGAGAAGCCCCAGAUGAGCUCCCAACAACAAGUGUGGCCAGCGCACACCAAAGUUUAUUAAGGAUGUUGAGAGGAGGGGAAAAUAUCCGUGCAGAAGAUGCCCAGCUGGCGAGGAGGGAGUGGUGGUGAUGCUCAUGUCACUUGAUGAAUCCCAUUGGCCAAGUCCCCAGGAGAUCCC